rnacentral:rRNA from 1 species
UACGUAGGGGGCAAGCGUUGUCCGGAUUUAUUGGGCGUAAAGAGCGUGUAGGCGGCUAGAUAGGUCCGUUGUGAAAACUCGAGGCUCAACCUCGAGACGUCGAUGGAAACCAUCUGGCUAGAGUCCGGAAGAGGAGAGUGGAAUUCCCGGUGUAGCGGUGAAAUGCGCAGAUAUCGGGAAGAACACCCGUGGCGAAAGCGGCUCUCUGGAACGGUACUGACGCUGAGACGCGAAAGCGUGGGGAGCGAACAGG